CGUGACGUCACCGCGGUUUGCCGGAACCCGGCUGGAAGCAAGCCUCGGCUCGGCUCGAUCUGGCCCCAGCUCCGCUCGGGUCCGAAAGCGGCAGUCAGCUGUGAGCCGCCGAGGUCACGACGUCGAGGUCUGAGGUGUUCGUUGAUGUAACCUCAACGUUAACCAUGUGCUCUGAACAGGCGCCCGCACCAAGUGUGUACUGCUCAGCUAAGUUGGGCCAAUCAUGUUAGGCUAAACGCUACCAAAGCUUUGCCUGGCCCUCCAGCAGCAGACCACCUCGAACAAGCAACCGAUCCCCUCUGCCUUCAAGUCCAUAGAGACAACAUGACUCAUCAUCACCACCAACACCAACAAUUUGGAGAUUGUGAGCGGUCCCUUCAAGAAGUCACGCGCUACGCGGCACAGUACUGAACGGGCACCAAACGGCCCCUACCCCAACAGCUGCCCUGCGAGCCGCUGGCCGGCUCCUCCCGCUCUCCGCCUCCAGUGGCUGUCUUUACCCAUAAUUUUAAGUAGCCCGUUUUGAUAAAGAUGCGGUUUGAUAAGGUUAAUAAAGAUUCGUUUGCCGUC